rnacentral:lncRNA from 1 species
UCAUGUGCCAUCCAAAUUUAGUUAUAUCGAAAGAAGGUAUUCAUAAAGUUAAGCAUCUAGUAUCCGAUGGUGGCACCGAUGAGUUAGUCUAUCCUGAAUAAAAUAAAACUAUCUUUUAGAUAAGCUUUAUUCAAAUCAGUAAAAACUAAAUAUAUCUAUCAUUUGCUGUUCACCUUCUUGACGAGGAUGACAUUCACUAACCAC